rnacentral:rRNA from 1 species
UACGUAGGGUGCAAGCGUUAAUCGGAAUUACUGGGCGUAAAGCGUGCGCAGGCGGUUGUGCAAGACAGAUGUGAAAUCCCCGGGCUCAACCUGGGAAUUGCAUUUGUGACUGCACGGCUGGAGUGUGUCAGAGGGGGGUAGAAUUCCACGUGUAGCAGUGAAAUGCGUAGAGAUGUGGAGGAAUACCGAUGGCGAAGGCAGCCCCCUGGGAUAACACUGACGCUCAUGCACGAAAGCGUGGGGAGCAAACAGG